UACAGAGGUCUCAAGCGUUGUUCGGAUUCAUUGGGCGUAAAGGGUGCGUAGGCGGCGCGGCAAGUCGGGUGUGAAAUCUCGGAGCUUAACUCCGAAACUGCAUUCGAUACUGCCGUGCUUGAGGACUGGAGAGGAGACUGGAAUUUACGGUGUAGCGGUGAAAUGCGUAGAUAUCGUAAGGAAGACCAGUGGCGAAGGCGGGUCUCUGGACAGUUCCUGACGCUGAGACACGAAAGCCAGGGGAGCAAACGGG
rnacentral:rRNA from 1 species